rnacentral:tRNA from 1 species
GCGGGCUCUUGCGGAGGGGCUCGCAGCUUUGCAAGCUGGAAGUUGGCGGUUCGAGUCCGCUCCGCUCCA